GACGUAGGAGGCGAGCGUUGUCCGGAUUCAUUGGGCGUAAAGAGCACGCAGGCGGUUUGGCAAGUCGGAUGUGAAAACCCGAAGCUCAACUUCGGGCCUGCAUCCGAAACUGCCCGACUAGAGGUAGGUAGGGGAGAUCGGAAUUCCUGGUGUAGCGGUGAAAUGCGGCAGAUAUCAGGAGGAACACCGGUGGCGAAGGCG
rnacentral:rRNA from 1 species